CAGAGGACGGCAAGCGUUGUUCGGAAUCACUGGGCUUAAAGCGCGUGUAGGCGGCCUCGCAAGUACUUUGUGAAAUCCCUCGGCUCAACCGGGGAAUUGCUGGGUAUGCUGCGGGGCUUGAGGCGGGUAGGGGUGCUUGGAACUCUAGGUGGAGCGGUGAAAUGCGUAGAUAUCUAGAGGAACGCCUGUGGCGAAAGCGGAGCACUGGGCCCGUCCUGACGCUAAGACGCGAAAGCGUGGGUAGCAAACGGGAUUAGAUACCCCGGUAGUCCACGCCGUAAACGAUGCGCACAAGGUUCAUUGGCCUCUGACGGCACGUGGGCCGAAACAAAAGUGUUAAGUGCGCCGCCUGGGGAGUACGGCCGCAAGGCUA
rnacentral:rRNA from 1 species